AUUGAACGCUGGCGGCAGGCCUAACACAUGCAAGUCGAGCGGAUGAGGAAAGCUUGCUUUUCGAUUCAGCGGCGGACGGGUGAGUAAUGCCUAGGAAUCUGCCUGUUAGUGGGGGAUAACUCGGGGAAACUCGGGCUAAUACCGCAUACGUCCUACGGGAGAAAGUGGGGGAUCUUCGGACCUUACGCUAACAGAUGAGCCUAGGUCGGAUUAGCUAGUAGGUGAGGUAAUGGCUCACCUAGGCGACGAUCCGUAACUGGUCUGAGAGGAUGAUCAGUCACACUGGAACGGAGACACGGUCCAGACUCCUACGGGAGGCAGCAGUGGGGAAUAUUGGACAAUGGGCGAAAGCCUGAUCCAGCCAUGCCGCGUGUGUGAAGAAGGUCUUCGGAUUGUAAAGCACUUUAAGUUGGGAGGAAGGGUAUUCACCUAAUACGUGGGUACUUUGACGUUACCAACAGAAUAAGCACCGGCUAACUCUGUGCCAGCAGCCGCCGUAACAC
rnacentral:rRNA from 1 species